CACAUGACUCUCGGCAACGGAUAUCUUGGCUCUCGCAUCGAUGAAGAACGUAGCGAAAUGCGAUACCUGGUGUGAAUUGCAGAAUCCCGCGAACCAUCGAGUCUUUGAACGCAAGUUGCGCCCGAGGCCACUUGGUUGAGGGCACGCCUGCCUGGGCGUCACGC
rnacentral:rRNA from 1 species